AUUAUCUUGGCAGACUGAAGUGUAUUAAAUUUAGAAUUUAAUUAUGUAAUUAUUAUUACAGAUAAUA
rnacentral:tRNA from 1 species